rnacentral:tmRNA from 1 species
GGGGGCGUUAAUGGUUUCGACGGGGAGCAUUGGUCAAAAUGUAAAGCAUGUGGUGUGCCUCCACCUAAUAGAGACAAAAACAAAUAAACGCAAACAAAAACGUAGUUAAAUUAGACAAUGCAUUUGCAUGCGCUGCUUAAUUUAACAAAAAUCAACUAGAUCAACAGGGUUUGAUCAUCCCACAGCGGCAUCGCUUGGUUGCUAGUUGGGGUCAACAAAAGCGCUCUUGCAUCAAAAAUUUGUCUUUAUAUUGAUUGCGAUUUUAAAAGACUUGCUAAAAGAAGUUGUUUAUGGCUUAACUUUUAGUGAAAUACAAUCAUAAACUAAACAUGUAGAAAAGUUUUGAAUCGAGUUUUUCGGAAGAGGGUUCGAAUCCCUCCGUCUCCACCA